UUUUAUGGAGAGUUUGAUCCUGGCUCAGGAUGAACGCUGGCGGCGUGCCUAAUACAUGCAAGUCGAGCGAACAGACGAGGAGCUUGCUCCUUUGACGUUAGCGGCGGACGGGUGAGCAACACGAGGGUAACCUCCCUAUCAGCCAGGGGUAACUUCGGGAAACCGGCGCUAACACCGGCUAAUAUUUCGAACCGCAUGGUUCGAUAGUGAAAGAUGGCCGUGCUAUCCCUUAUAGAUGGACCUGGGCCGUAUUAGCUAGUUGGUAAGGUAACGGCUUACUAAGGCAAC
rnacentral:rRNA from 1 species